rnacentral:misc_RNA from 1 species
CUCCCCGAUUAGCACCAGAGUCUGGUGGAAUCCCCACUUUGUAAGAGAUUUUACACCUCCUCUCAGCAAGUUUAUCACUUAGAGCUAACAUGCCAUUUCUUCCAAAAUCAUCAUCGAUAAAAAUGGCAAUUACCUGCUUCCAACCAUAAUAAUCAACUAUUUCGGCUAUUGCAGCCAUUUGGUAUAAAUCACUUUGUGUUGUCCUAACAAAAAAGGGGAA